GCGGGAUGCUCGUACCAGUGGACAGUCGGCUGGCUCAUAACCAGUAAUCAGGUGGGUUCAAAUCCCAUUCCCGCA
rnacentral:tRNA from 1 species